AGGCAUUUUGUGAACGGUGCAUACUCGAGGAUGUGGUGAUGUUGCUUCGCAACACCACGGAGGGUGGCAAGCUGAUUUGAUUUCGAUGCAUGACGUGUUGGCACAAGCCCGGCUAGCGAUGCGUUGUGCAUAGAAUAUCAUGAAGCGAGCGUUUUUUAUGAGCAAAUCAUGUUGGUUCGGUAGCUUUUGUGUUUCUCGCAUCGUGCGGUUCAUUUUUGGGAUUGCCUUGGCUUUUGGUUGCUUGCUUGGUCAUUGUACCAUGCGGGUGGCUACUAGUCGGGUGGUUUCGGGGAGUGUUUACCGUAAAGGUGCAUGAGUGGUGUUUGGUUUGUUACGGGUGGUUGGAUGUCUUCUAGCGAAGCAACUUCCAUGCGUGCUUACCUCUUCAUUUACGUGGCAAGACUUGUUUUGUCUUGCUCGUAUUGGGGGUUUCCUGUGUUGCGUACCUAAUCGAAGGCAUUGUUUGGACCGAUCGAAGCCGUUUUCGCCAUGCAUCACAAUUGUGGUGUGUGACGGACUAGGAAGUGGUCUUUGUAAUCCAUCUCGUGUUGUUAUCACUUCGACGAUGUGGCUUGCUGAGUUCUGCUUGGUCUCUUGGAUACUGAACCUGAUGUGGGCAUGGGAUCCUAAUCAAUCCUUUUUUGCCCUCGUUUAGCGUUCUCGCUUCUCUAAAACGAUCACUCGUCGUGCGUUGGCUCGUCCAUGCGUGGCGGGUUGCGUCGAAGAGGAAUGCUA
rnacentral:misc_RNA from 1 species